rnacentral:rRNA from 1 species
GUGAGGAAUAUUGGUCAAUGGGCGCAAGCCUGAACCAGCCAUGCCGCGUGCAGGAAGACGGUCCUAUGGAUUGUAAACUGCUUUUAUUUGGGAAUAAACUCCGGUACGUGUACCGGCCUGCAGGUACCAAAUGAAUAAGCACCGGCUAACUCCGUGCCAGCAGCCGCGGUAAUACGGAGGGUGCAAGCGUUAUCCGGAAUCAUUGGGUUUAAAGGGUCCGCAGGCGGGCUUAUUAGUCCGUGGUGAAAGCCUACAGCGCAACUGUAGAAAUGCCAUUGAUACUGUAGGACUUGAAUUCGAUCGAAGUGGGCGGAAUGUGACAUGUAGCGGUGAAAUGCUUAGAUAUGUCACAGAACACCGAUAGCGAAGGCAGCUCACUAGGUCUGGAUUGACGCUCAGGGACGAAAGCGUGGGGAGCAAACAGGAUUAGAUACCCGAGUAGUCC